AUCCUUUUCUGGUUCAUAUGCAUGACAAUCGAGUUUUCACAUGCUUGUAUGAUACGUACCUCCCUUCAACCUUGUUAUGACGUCGGUACAUGACCCUUCUGACA